AUUUCUGGUGCACAGAGUAAGGGCAGGCAGCACCUUUGCAUGGAGAAUUUAGGCUGAAACAGACUCAAAAUCUGAUGUAGGCUGAGACCUGCCUGCCUGCAUUAGGUCUAGCACAAUUUGGCCCGGAUCUGUGGAAUUCUUGGAAUCAUUAGUAAUAACUUACAUCUUUACAGAUCCACAAAGUGCCCAACCCCACCACCACAACCACAAUCCCCAGAACCCAUGGCUAGCCCUCUCCCAACUUCUGCUGAUGAGUCAGGCACCAACUGAGGACACCAUGCAGCCU